rfam:Myotis lucifugus cont2.42666, whole genome shotgun sequence.
GGCAGUUCUCAGGUGACGCAUCCCAGAAUCAGGCUCCCUCCUCUCUGGUUCUGGGGUGUAUCACCUGAGAACUGCC